UGGAGUUACAGCGGGACAUCAACAGCGGCUGCCUGUCCCAGCUGCGGUGUCUGGCACUGAGUGACCCGCGUUACUCAUUAUUUCAGCGGCUUCUCCUUUAAAGCAAUCUGGUUGGGCUUCGAAGGAGCUUUUCUCCAUCACUGUUCCUUGUGCAGCUGCGUUGAAGGGCUCAUAUUUAUAGUUUGAAACAAGAUCCUACUUCCUAAAAUCUAAAAGUCUCAUGUGGAGGUGGAUGUUCUGAUUCAAGGUCAGCCUUGAACAUGACCUGUGCAAUGAGUCUCUGCAGUUCCAUCUCUACUGACAAACCUGCAGGACAGAGUAAUAAUUUGACAUCUUGUUGGUAAUCUCUAAGUAUCUCAGUCGGAGCUCUGGCUUAGAGACAGCUUCUGGUGAAGUCAUGUCAGUCAGUGGUAAGUACCAUUGACCUUAUUACUCUCUGAGUCCCUUAGCAAGCAAGAUUUCAUAUUAAAGAACCAAAAUAAUCGAAGCAGUAUGCUCUUGCUUUUAUAACUUUGUCUUUUUCAUUUUCUUAGUUCAGUUCUUGUACUUUUUUGGUUUAAUUUGGUGUUGGGUGUUGUCUCAAUUAUCUCGUUUUGGGGUUGA